CUACGGGCGGCAGCAGUGGGGAAUAUUGGACAAUGGGGGAAACCCUGAUCCAGCAAUGCCGCGUGUGUGAAGAAGGCCUGCUGGUUGUAAAGCACUUUCGGUUGGGAGGACUGCUUCUAGCACUAAUAUUGUUGGAAGUUGACGUUACCUUCAGAAGAAGCACCGGCUAACUCCGUGCCAGCAGCCGCGGUGAAUACGGAGGGUGCAAGCGUUAAUCGGAAUUACUGGGCGUAAAGCGCGCGUAGGCGGCUAGAUCAGUCGGGUGUGAAAGCCCCGGGCUUAACCUGGGAACUGCAUCCGAUACUGGCUAGCUUGAGUACAGGAGAGGAGAGUGGAAUUCCACAUGUAGCGGUGAAAUGCGUAGAUAUGUGGAGGAACACCAAUGGCGAAGGCAGCUCUCUGGCCUGAUACUGACGCUGAGGUGCGAAAGCGUGGGGAGCAAACAGGAUUAGAUACCCGGGUAGUC
rnacentral:rRNA from 1 species